CCGUGGCUCUGACAACCUUUCUGUUUCUUGGAGUCCUCAGGGUAACGGCAUAGACAGGCUGGCCUUUGCUAGGGCCAACUUUGGAGCAGCCUCUAUGGGAAGCCUUUUGAGCCAAAAUAGAUUUCCCUCCAUUAGCAACAUGCCCCCAUAACAGAGAGGAGGCGACCCGCCAGCCUCCGGAGCAGAGCAGGAGGCCCCUGGAUUGAGACAUCAAUAUCUGGCUUUUAGUGGCACAAAGGGAUAAAGGAAUGUGGAUUCAGAGCGGGCUGGGAUGCUUGGCAAUUCUAAUUCGAUUCCAGACUGCAAAUCGACACAAAGCUGUUGCAACUUUUGUUGAAGAGAAGGCUGAGUGAGCACGUGGUGUUGGGAAAUUGUGUUUUCUUCUUCGAGUUCUUCUGUUUCCGAAUAUCUAAUCCUACUGUUCUCUUCUUUGGUGAAGGUCUCUUUAGUAUAAAGAGUCUCUUUCCUGAAAUUGCUUGGGGCAGCACAGAAGCUGGAUUCAGAAACCACACAAGUUGGGGAUGCAGGCUUCCGCCAAGCCUGAUGCAGGGAAAGACUGCCAUCUUGUGGUCAUCUUGGAACACAGCACCUCGGUUCCGGGCGAAGCUGCCGAGAGCCAGGACUUGAGAAAUGAGCCUCGGAGCUGCAUUUCUGCAGGACAGUGAGGAUGCCUUUUAAAAACACCCAGGAAAUAGUUGAGUGCCCUCCAAGAUAGGUUUCAGUGAAUCUUCAUGUAUGCUGUCAUUCCCUGAGCCAGACACUGCAGGCCCACAACACCUGCUGCGUGAAAAUGGGGUAGAAAUGUGGAGAAAACAUAAUCCCCCAGUGAAAAUAAAGAAACAAACACA